GAUGAAGAACGCAGCAAAAUGCGAUACUUGGUGUGAAUUGCAGAAUCCCGUGAACCAUCGAGUUUUUGAACGCAAGUUGCGCCCGAAGCCUUUUGGCCGAGGGCACGUCUGCCUGGGCGUCACGCAUCGCGUCGCCCCCCACAAUUCUCCGUAAAGGGAACGUGUGUUUUGGGGGCGGAUAUUGGUCUCCCGUGCUCAUGGCGUGGUUGGCCGAAAUAGGAGUCCUUUCGAUGGACUCACGAACUAGUGGUGGUCGUAAAAACCCUCGUCUUUUGUUUUGUGCUGUUGCUCGCAAGGUAAACUCUUUAAAAACCCCAAUGUGUCGUCUCUUGACGACGCUUCGACCGCGACCCCAGGUCAGGCGGGACUACCCGCUGAGUUUAAGCAUAUCAAUAAGCGGAGGA
rnacentral:misc_RNA from 1 species